AUGUGAUAGGUCACAAUCAUGCAUUUGCCUGUUUUGUAUUUUUCUUUUUUCGUUUUAUUAUAUUUUUCUGCUUUUUUUUGUAAAUAAUUAUGCUUAACAUUAGUUUAAAUUUAUAUUUAUAAAUAUGUAAAUAAUAUUCCUAUAUUCCCUAUCCCAAGUUACCAAUUACCCUUAAUAUAAAAUCAAUGAAUUAAAAAAUAAAUGAAAUAAAAACAAUUUGUAAAUAAAAAUAAUUUAAAUAUUUGAAUUCAAAUCCCCGUCCUAUAAAACCCUACAUCAUCAUUCCUUCCUUAUGCACUGCAUCAUGGCGCCUUGUACCAACUGUGCGGAAACAAAUCCCUCCCGGGAAAUGUUCCACCCAUGGGUUUUGCUGCAUCAUCCUAAGCGAUAUAAAAAGGAUAUGCAGGCCAAGGAAAGGAGAUCUUUUGGAACUAAAUUCCUAACCGUGUCUCGUGAGUGCAACCGCCGAUCUCUAAUACCAGUGCCGAAAUAGUGGAGUCAUCAUCCAAGUGCGCAAUUGAGCGGAACGAAGGCGUCCAGAUCCGGCUUCAGGUGGCCCAGACACGAAGUUACCGACAUCAGACGAUCCAGAGGUCGGGUAAGCCCGCAAAACGAUGUAAUCAAAUGAAAAUAAAUGUGCAUAUCCUGUACUUCCUAUGAAUUCCCCUCCAAAUAAAUAAAUUUAUUGUUUAAAAUUU